UCUCUCUCUAGUAUCUCUAAAUCCUUCCUCUCUCCUCCGAAGAUCCUCAAGCGAGUCUGGACGUGCGACGAACCUCCAACUUUUCUAUAGUUCGGUUUCCUCAUAGAAUCACCAUUAUUCUCCUUCAGCCGAUCGGGAAGUGCCAGUAAUUAUGGCCGUCGAAUAGUUGGUUCAACAACUGGGCCGAGAACAUAUACCUCAACUCCAUCCUCAUAAGAUCUCAAAUACUAUGUGGUUAGUUUUUCAUUCUAUCAUAGUUUAUUUGUUAUUCAUUGCUAUCAACUAACUUCAAAAAAAAAAAACUUCGUUUUUUGUAGGUUCGAUAAGUCUAUCAAUGGGAUUAGCAAAAAUAUUCUGAAGAUGGAAUUUGGAAUACGUAAGCAUGGAUUUCCGAUCUACAAUAUACAUGCCCGACAAGGAUCUCGAGAUGUGGUUUCGUUAUUUUAAGGUACUUUCUUGAACAUCUUUUUAGUUUUUGUUUAUCUAAAAUAAAAUGUGAUAAAGAUUUUAAAGAUGAAAUAGAAUAAACUCACAGUUAUUUAAAAUAAUUUUCAUCUUUUCUUUUUCUUUUGACAACAAUUGAAAAUAAAAUAUAUUAUUCUCUUCUUAGCAUUGAUUCAAAAAUCCAAAUCAGUGGACUAGAAUCCUUAUAAUACACAGAGAACUCCGAAGUCCGAACGCCUCAUAUAAUUUUCUUUGCCAUAAUUUUUGGCUUUUGGAAUAAGCUAGAUAGUGAAGUUGCGGAAAAAUUGCUUACAUCAUUAAAUUUAUUUCUUAUGAAUAUUACAAAGAACUUCUUGCACGAACUAAAAACAAGUAUUCGUUUAGAUUUAAAAGACAAUAUAAGUAAAUAAUUUACUACUUUAUAUGAUUUUUUUAUUUGCAAUGAUGUUCUGAUUUGGACCCUUAUCGAUAUGAGAUUGGACACUCUUUUAGUUUAUUUAUUUUGGAAAUAUUCUUCUCUCCAAGUAGAUUCGAUGUAGGGAUCUCCUCUCUCAAAGGAACCACCAAGAGCCACUUAGUACUUCAAAUGAAGUUCAUUCAUACAAAAUUUGAGUAAAUUAUGGUUAGUUAAUGUAUAAUUUAGGGUAGACUGAAAAGGUACGUGAUGUGAGUUCGAAACUAGCUAAAUUUAUCAAGUAACUUGAAUGUUUUGAGAGGGGCGAAAAUGAAAGGUGUGAAGAGGAAACUCGCUUGUUGAACGUGACAGUUAUUGUAUACCUAGUAAUUAUUUUAUGCACUAAUCAAAACGAAAAGUAUUUUAUUAAUGUAUGACUAAUUAUAAUCUGAGAAAUAAAAACCAACCAGAUUUUAUUUGGUUUAGGUCAAUGAAUGGACGGCUGAUCGUGCGCGUGGAAAUGCCAAAACCCAUUCUUAUCAAAACACUAUUUCUAAGUAAUAAAAAUGGAGAACGACAGUGCAUGGUUACCAAUAUCGUCAAAAUGAUGAGACGGGAUUGAAUGAGUAGUGACACUCGUUCCAUGUUGAUUUACCAACCAACAGCCGUCUCACCUCACCCGCAUCUUUGACAAACUUCUAUGGAUUCUCCACGCAUAUGCAAUGCUUCUUUACAGUCUACGCGAUAAGGUCCAACUAUAGUUAUUUAAUUUAAAUAAGAACAAACUUAUAUUUUAUUGUUUAUAAUUUUAGCUCAUUUUAUAUAAAUAAUAUAUUUUUAUACGUAUGAUAUUUGUAUAUUUAACAUACUUUAGAACAUAACUUUUUAUUAAUCUCUUAAAUUUUAAAAUAUCAAAAGUUUAUUAAUGAGCUACAUAAUAUUUAAUUAUUUUAUUUUGUAGGAACUAUUUUUAAAAUCUUAACAUUUUAAAAUAUUAAAUUAAAUUUUCAUUUUUUAUAUUUUAUUGAUAUUUUGACUUUUUAUGUGAACAAUAUUUAUGUAGCUUUAUCUUUUUAAUCAUAUAUUUUAUUGAUAUUUUGACUUUUGUAUUUUUAUGUUAAUUUUCUAAAAUAGUAUAUAUCAAGUUGGUUAAUUUUAAAUGUUUUUUUGUUAGUUUAGUUUAUAUCAUAAGGACUUUUACAUUUUUUAAACCUUAUUAUUUCUUAACUAAAAAUUGUUAUUUUUAUGUUAAUGUUCUAAAAUUAGGAUAUGUUAAGUUUAUUAAUGUGAAAUGAUAUCUGUUUUGUUAGAUUAGUUUUAUUAGAUAUAGAUUUUAAAAUUAAAUUUGCUUUUUCAUAAAAAAACCGUAUAAAAAAAAACAUUAUUUGCUUAUGUUAAUGUUAAAAUAGUAUCGAUAUGAAGUUCAUUUCUUUUUAAUAAUUUUUUUAGUUUGCCUUAUUUUGAAUGAAUUUCUAUUUUAUUUUGGACAAAAUAAUUUUGGAAGUUUUUGAAAUGUUGUAAAUAAUUAUAAUGGUUUAAAAGCGUAUGUUGACACAUUCAAUGGCUUAUAUCAUAAUUUUUUU